GCAAGUCGAGCGAACAGAUAAGGAGCUUGCUCCUUUGACGUUAGCGACGGACGGGUGAGUAACACGUGGUUAGCUUACCUAUCAGACUGGAAUAACUCCGGGAAACCGGGGCUAAUGCCGGAUAACAUGUUGAACCGCAUGGUUCUACAGUGAAAGGCGGCUUUGCUGUCACUUAUAGAUGGACCCGCGUCUUAUUAGCUAGUUGGUGAGGUAACGGCUCACCAAGGCAGCGAUACGUAGCCGACCUGAGAGGGUGAUC
rnacentral:rRNA from 1 species